ensembl:lncRNA
AUUGAAUUUGACAAAAAUUUUUGGAAAUGCUUUGAAAAGUGUUACAUCUAAUUACUCUCUUGUAUUGGCUGCAUAAGAUGUCUUUUUUGAUUAAGAGACCGAAUAAUUCCUCAGCCUUCGUUAAACAACAAGAGAGUGAGAGAAAAGUAUAUCUCCCCAUUACCCAAGCUGGGAGUAAUAGGAAGUAUGAAUCUUAUAGGAUAUUUUAGUACUUCUGAUAGUGCAAUGUAUCAUUCAAUAAGUUUUUUUGUCUUCACUUAAAAAGUGACUUUAAUAGAGAACCUUCCCCACACACAAGUGAAAAGUAACAGAUGGUGUGUUUUCUGUUCUUCACAUAAAUAUUUUUGGUGAAAGGGAUUUAGGAGGAUAUAUUGUGUCAGCAUGAUAGAGAAGAAGGAUCACAGAGUUCACAGGCAUAAAAAUGAGUUCCAGUUCUGUCACGAAUUGGCAUUGACUUCCCUGGUGGCUCAGAUGGUAAAGCGUCUGCCUGCAAUAUGGGAGACCCUGGUUCGAUCCCUGGGUUGGGAAGAUCUCCUGGAGAAGGAAAUGGCAACCCACUCCAGUAUUCCUGCUUGGAGAAUCCCAGGGACAGAGGAGCCUGGUACGCUACAGUCCAUGGGGUCCCAAAGAGUUGGACACGACUGAGUGACUUCACUUUAGGUUUUUCCCAGCAUCAGAGUCUUUUCCAAUGAGGCAGCUCUUCACAUCAGGCGGCCAAAGUAUUGGAGCUUCAGCUUCAGCAUCAGUCCUUCCAAUGAACAUUCAGGACUGAUUUCCUUUCCAAACCCUGGAAAAACCAUAGUUUUGACUAUAUGGACCUUUGUUGGCAAAGUAAUGCCCUGCUUUUUAACAUGCUGUCUAGGGUUUAAAUAUCUUCAAAAGGUUUAAAUAUGUUUCAAAUAUAGUAGAUCGUGUUGAACUGCUUUCCAAGUGUACACUCUCACCAGAAGUUUAUGAGAAGUCCGCGUGUUCAUGUCAUUGUCAACACUUGGUAUAAACUUUAUUUGACAGUCUGAGGCAUGUGUACUCGCUUCUCAUUGUGGUUUUAAUUUCUCUGAUUUUAAAUGGAGUUGUGUACUUAUUCAUAUUUUUAUUGGUCAUUUUGAUUUCUUUUAUG